CCGCCUUCGUCGCUCUCCGUGCGGCUCACUUUGUGGCCUCACCUCUGCUGGCCGCGUGCCCUCUUUCCCAGCCGCAGGGCUCCGGUGCCACCCAUUCUUGGUCCAGGGAGUGAUGGUCUCUGGCGUUUGUUGCCUAAAUCACCUUCUCUUCACCUCUGCACUGAUUCAGGUUCUUUCCGAAGUGUUCUAGAAACACCUGAAGAAUAAAUCUAUAGAACUUCUCUGAUAUCUGAUAUCUGAUGAAGAUCACUUCUUUUGAUCAAGCUAUGCUGAUGAUUCUUCAACUUCACAUAUCAGUGGAUCUGCAUAAUGACGUCCAAAGUGAAUUCUAAUCAGAAAAUAAAAGGCCAAGAAAUGAAGCGGCUGUUGGACGGAUGUAGUGGCAAUCCACACCACGGCGGUCCUGCUGACAUACUGGGAACUAGAACCUGUCAGGCC
ensembl:lncRNA